AGUGAACGCUGGCGGUAGGCCUAACACAUGCAAGCCGAACGGCAGCACAGUAAGAGCUUGCUCUUACGGGUGGCGAGUGGCGGACGGGUGAGGAAUACAUCGGAAUCUACUUUUUCGUGGGGGAUAACGUAGGGAAACUUACGCUAAUACCGCAUACGACCUACGGGUGAAAGCAGGGGAUCUUCGGACCUUGCGCGAUUGAAUGAGCCGAUGUCGGAUUGGCUAGUUGGCGGGGUAAAGGCCCACCAAGGCGACGAUCCGUAGCUGGUCUGAGAGGAUGAUCAGCCACACUGGAACUGAGACACGGUCCAGACUCCUACGGGAGGCAGCAGUGGGGAAUAUUGGACAAUGGGCGCAAGCCUGAUCCAGCCAUACCGCGUGGGUGAAGAAGGCCUUCGGGUUGUAAAGCCCUUUUGUUGGGAAAGAAAAGCAGCAGGUUAAUACCCCGCUGUUCUGACGGUACCCAAAGAAUAAGCACCGGCUAACUUCGUG
rnacentral:rRNA from 1 species